AGCUCCAAUAGCGUAUAUUAAAGUUGUUGCAGUUAAAAAGCUCGUAGUUGGAUUUCUGGUGUGAGGGAACGGUCCGACCUCUGGUGGGUACUUGCUUCCUCUCACGCCAUCCUUGAGUGGUGCGUUCUGGCAUUCAGUUGUCGGGACGUUAGCCGCUCAUCGUUUACUGUGAGAAAAUUAGAGUGUUCAAAGCAGGCUUAUGCCGUUGAAUAUAUUAGCAUGGAAUAAUAAGAUAGGACUUCGGUACUAUUUUGUUGGUUUGCGCACCGAUGUAAUGAUCAAUAGGGACAGUUGGGGGUAUUCGUAUUCAGUUGUCAGAGGUGAAAUUCUUAGAUUUACGGAAGACGAACUACUGCGAAAGCAUCUGCCAUGGAUGUUUUCA
rnacentral:rRNA from 1 species